UUGAUCCUGGCUCAGGAUGAACGCUGGCGGCGUGCCUAAUACAUGCAAGUCGAACGGAGCUUUGUAUUCGUACGAAGCUUAGUGGCGAACGGGUGAGUAACGCGUUGGUGACCUGCCCCGAAGAGAGGGACAACAGCUCGAAAGGGCUGCUAAUACCUCAUGUGGUCGUAAGGAUUAGAGGCCAUACGUCUAAAUGGAGUAAUCCGCUUCGGGAGGGGCCUGCGUCCCAUCAGCUUGUUGGUAGGGUAACGGCCUACCAAGGCUACGACGGGUAGGGGACCUGAGAGGGUGACCCCCCACACUGGCACUGAAACACGGGCCAGACACCUACGGGUGGCAGCAGUAGGGAAUAUUGCACAAUGGGCGAAAGCCUGAUGCAGCAACGCCGCGUGCACGAUGAAGGCCUUCGGGUCGUAAAGUGCUUUUCGGGGAGAUGAGAAAGGACAGUAUCCCCGGAAUAAGGAUCGGCUAACUACGUGCCAGCAGCCGCGGUAAAACGUAGGAUCCGAGCGUUAUCCGAAUUUACUGGGCGUAAAGCGCGUGUAGGCGGUUCGGUAAGUUGGAUGUGAAAUCUCCUGGCUCAACUGGGAGAGGUCGUUCAAUACUGUCGGACUAGAGGGCGGUAGAGGGAGGUGGAAUUCCCGGUGUAGUGGUGAAAUGCGUAGAUAUCGGGAGGAACACCAGUGGCGAAAGCGGCCUCCUAGGCCGCUCCUGACGCUCAGACGCGAAAGCUAGGGGAGCAAACGGGAUUAGAAACCCCGGUAGUCCUAGCUGUAAACGAUGUGAACUUGGCGUUGGUGGGGUAAAAGCCAUCAGUGCCGAAGCUAACGCGAUAAGUUCACCGCCUGGGGGACUACGGCCGCAAGGUUAAAAACUCAAAGGAAUUGAC
rnacentral:rRNA from 1 species